GACGAACGCUGGCGGCGUGCUUAACACAUGCAAGUCGAGCGGUAAGGCCCUUUCGGGGGUACACGAGCGGCGAACGGGUGAGUAACACGUGGGUGACCUGCCCUCAGCUCUGGGAUAAGCCUGGGAAACCGGGUCUAAUACCGGAUAUGACUCCAUGACGCAUGUUGUGGGGUGGAAAGCCUUGUGCGGCUGAGGAUGGGCCCGCGGCCUAUCAGCUUGUUGGUGGGGUGAUGGCCUACCAAGGCGACGACGGGUAGCCGGCCUGAGAGGACGACCAGCCACACUGGGACUGAGACACGGCCCAGACUCCUACGGGAGGCAGCAGUGGGGAAUAUUGGACAAUGGGCGAAAGCCUGAUCCAGCGAUGCCGCGUGUGUGAAGAAGGCCUGCGGGUU
rnacentral:rRNA from 1 species